rnacentral:rRNA from 1 species
AAUCCAUAGGUUAAUGAGGCGAACCGGGGGAACUGAAACAUCUAAGUACCCCGAGGAAAAGAAAUCAACCGAGAUUCCCCCAGUAGCGGCGAGCGAACGGGGAGGAGCCCAGAGCCUGAAUCAGCAUGUGUGUUAGUGGAAGCGUCUGGAAAGGCGCGCGAUACAGGGUGACAGCCCCGUACACAAAAGCGCAUGUGCUGUGAGCUCGAUGAGUAGGGCGGGACACGUGGUAUCCUGUCUGAAUAUGGGGGGACCAUCCUCCAAGGCUAAAUACUCCUGACUGACCGAUAGUGAACCAGUACCGUGAGGGAAAGGCGAAAAGAACCCCGGCGAGGGGAGUGAAAAAGAACCUGAAACCGUGUACGUACAAGCAGUGGGAGCACCCUUUGGGUGUGACUGCGUACCUUUUGUAUAAUGGGUCAGCGACUUAUAUUCUGUAGCAAGGUUAACCGAAUAGGGGAGCCGGAGGGAAACCGAGUCUUAACCGGGCGUUAAGUUGCAGGGUAUAGACCCGAAACCCGGUGAUCUAGCCAUGGGCAGGUUGAAGGUUGGGUAACACUAACUGGAGGACCGAACCGACUAAUGUUGAAAAAUUAGCGGAUGACCUGUGGCUGGGGGUGAAAGGCCAAUCAAACCGGGAGAUAGCUGGUUCUCCCCGAAAGCUAUUUAGGUAGCGCCUCGUGAAUUCAUCUCCGGGGGUAGAGCACUGUUUCGGCUAGGGGGCCAUCCCGGCUUACCAACCCGAUGCAAACUGCGAAUACCGGAGAAUGUUAUCACGGGAGACACACGGCGGGUGCUAACGUCCGUCGUGAAGAGGGAAACAACCCAGACCGCCAGCUAAGGUCCCAAAGUCAUGGUUAAGUGGGAAACGAUGUGGGAAGGCCCAGACAGCCAGGAUGUUGGCUUAGAAGCAGCCAUCAUUUAAAGAAAGCGUAAUAGCUCACUGGUCGAGUCGGCCUGCGCGGAAGAUGUAACGGGGCUAAACCAUGCACCGAAGCUGCGGCAGCGACACUGUGUGUUGUUGGGUAGGGGAGCGUUCUGUAAGCCUGUGAAGGUGUGUCGUGAGGCAUGCUGGAGGUAUCAGAAGUGCGAAUGCUGACAUAAGUAACGAUAAAGCGGGUGAAAAGCCCGCUCGCCGGAAGACCAAGGGUUCCUGUCCAACGUUAAUCGGGGCAGGGUGAGUCGACCCCUAAGGCGAGGCCGAAAGGCGUAGUCGAUGGGAAACGGGUUAAUAUUCCCGUACUUGGUGUUACUGCGAAGGGGGGACGGAGAAGGCUAUGUUGGCCGGGCGACGGUUGUCCCGGUUUAAGCGUGUAGGUGUGUGUUCCAGGUAAAUCCGGUUCACUUUAACACUGAGGCGUGACGACGAGGCACUACGGUGCUGAAGCAACAAAUGCCCUGCUUCCAGGAAAAGCCUCUAAGCAUCAGGUAACAUCAAAUCGUACCCCAAACCGACACAGGUGGUCAGGUAGAGAAUACCAAGGCGCUUGAGAGAACUCGGGUGAAGGAACUAGGCAAAAUGGUGCCGUAACUUCGGGAGAAGGCACGCUGACACGUAGGUGAAGUGAUUUACUCAUGGAGCUGAAGUCAGUCGAAGAUACCAGCUGGCUGCAACUGUUUAUUAAAAACACAGCACUGUGCAAACACGAAAGUGGACGUAUACGGUGUGACGCCUGCCCGGUGCCGGAAGGUUAAUUGAUGGGGUCAGCGCAAGCGAAGCUCCUGAUCGAAGCCCCGGUAAACGGCGGCCGUAACUAUAACGGUCCUAAGGUAGCGAAAUUCCUUGUCGGGUAAGUUCCGACCUGCACGAAUGGCGUAAUGAUGGCCAGGCUGUCUCCACCCGAGACUCAGUGAAAUUGAACUCGCUGUGAAGAUGCAGUGUACCCGCGGCAAGACGGAAAGACCCCGUGAACCUUUACUAUAGCUUGACACUGAACAUUGAGCCUUGAUGUGUAGGAUAGGUGGGAGGCUUUGAAGUGUGGACGCCAGUCUGCAUGGAGCCGACCUUGAAAUACCACCCUUUAAUGUUUGAUGUUCUAACGUGGACCCGUUACCCGGGUUGCGGACAGUGUCUGGUGGGUAGUUUGACUGGGGCGGUCUCCUCCUAAAGAGUAACGGAGGAGCACGAAGGUUGGCUAAUCCUGGUCGGACAUCAGGAGGUUAGUGCAAUGGCAUAAGCCAGCUUGACUGCGAGCGUGACGGCGCGAGCAGGUGCGAAAGCAGGUCAUAGUGAUCCGGUGGUUCUGAAUGGAAGGGCCAUCGCUCAACGGAUAAAAGGUACUCCGGGGAUAACAGGCUGAUACCGCCCAAGAGUUCAUAUCGACGGCGGUGUUUGGCACCUCGAUGUCGGCUCAUCACAUCCUGGGGCUGAAGUAGGUCCCAAGGGUAUGGCUGUUCGCCAUUUAAAGUGGUACGCGAGCUGGGUUUAGAACGUCGUGAGACAGUUCGGUCCCUAUCUGCCGUGGGCGCUGGAGAACUGAGGGGGGCUGCUCCUAGUACGAGAGGACCGGAGUGGACGCAUCACUGGUGUUCGGGUUGUCAUGCCAAUGGCACUGCCCGGUAGCUAAAUGCGGAAGAGAUAAGUGCUGAAAGCAUCUAAGCACGAAACUUGCCCCGAGAUGAGUUCUCCCUGAGACUUAGAGUCUCCUGAAGGAACGUUGAAGACGACGACGUUGA